AGCAAACCUGACUAUUAUCAUUGCAGAUAAACAUUGCUGUUUCUACAAAGGGACUCCCAGCCCAAGGGACACUCAGAGCUACACUCAGCAAGGAUACUCAGGGCACAGAUAGACAAAGUUCUUUUCUAGGAUAUGAGUUGAGGUGGAUCUUCCUAGUAAAAAAUGGAGUCCCCCACAUCCUCUCUGCACUUCAAGAGAGGGCUCGAGUUUUGAGAGGGAAAUGGGCGUUUCUGCACGUCUUAUGGCACUUCCAGACUAAAUGCUGACUGUCCCGGCUCUGUGGCCAUGACCUUUGACCUUUCUCAUACUCCCUAUUCCCCUUCUGACACUCUGUAUCCCUCACAAUGAGAGAUAGUCUUUUUAUUUACAGCCCAGUACUGGCUCCUUACAGAACAGCUACAAUGUAACCCAUAGGUAAGACUCAUCUGCUUCUUAGUCUUGGUACUUAGCAGAGGUAGACACAGGCAGCCGGCUGAUCCCAGGGCAGCAACCAGGAUGGGCUGCUGGAGGCCCCGCUCCAGUCUCAGCUUUGACCAAUUCUGGCUAUUCCUACAAAGUGCUUUAGUUAGCUUUCCUCAGCUGUGACAAAAUCCACAAGACCAGUGACUUAAAGUAGGAAGUGUUUAUUUAGUCCAUGGUCACUUGUUCCUUUUGCUUUGGUCGUAUGAUGGCAGCAGAAUGUAGCAGAGGAAACAGCUUUCUCCAUGGAAGCUAGGGAACAAAGAUGAGAAAAGGGGCUAACGUUCUGAUAUACUCUUCAAAGACAUUGCCCCAAUGACCAAACUUUCCUCCAGAGAAGCCCCAAGGGGUUCAUUGCUUUCCUGUGGCACCCUGAGCCUUCUACUGCACCAUGGUUGCUUCUGGUAUGGUUGGUCUCUCCCCAGAAGGACUGUAAAGCCUCUGAGGGGAAUAGGGACGUUGGUGUCUUGCAAGAGACAGCUUUCCAGGGCUUCCACUUGUGCAAAGCCCCUUGCCAUUUUUCUUCGUCCCGCCUGGCCCUGCCCCCAAGCCUAGAUUCUCAUUGUAUUAGCAACAGUUUGUAGAGUUUGUAGAGGAGGAAGCUGAUGCAGACACUCCCAAACGCCGCCUCACCCCACCCAAGAUAUUUGCACCAAUUUGCAAAUUGGUGGAAAGUUGAGGGUCUCACUAAAUUGUCCAAGGUUGCCUGGAAUUCACUAUGCAACUCAGGCUGACUGCAGACUUGGGAUUUUUCUGCCUCAGCCUCCUGAGGGCUGAGAUUAUCAGGAUGUAGCUCUCAACUACUUCUCCAGGACAUAUCUGCCUGCAGGCUUCCAUGCUGUCUUUCAUGAUGAUAAUGGACUAAAUCCUUGAAACCGUAAGCCAGCUCCAAUCAAAUGCUUUCUUUCAUAACACUGCCUUGGUCAUGGUGUCUCUUUACAGAGAUAACAGUGACUACUAGAGCUAUUGACUCUAGCCUUGGAAAAGGGAUGAAGCCAGCAUGCUGUCUUUGGUGUGGUAGGAGGUGCAAUGUUUUCUCAGGAAGCCCAUUUACUAACAGAGAGAGUUGUUAUUACAUCACUCCUGCCUAAGCGUGCCUCAUCUCUGAGAUACCCAAAUGACUGUUUUACUCCCGAACAUUUUGGAAGCAUGUCACAGAAGAUGAAAGACAUCCCUGUUAUCUGGAAAUUAGUCAAUGAAGCUAACCUCACACGCAAACUUAUUGUUUAGAUGCACACAGUCAACUUAUAAUUCCUGUGCCCAUCAGACCUUGAGUGAGGAUUAAGAACAAAGACCAUGUAAGAUACUUUAUCAAGGAAUUCAUAAUCCAGAGGGUCUGAACUGGAUAGGCACAGCCACUAAUUCAGUGCUGUGAGGACCAUUUCAUCAUGAGUUAGUAGUUGUGUAAAAUUGUCCUGGUCACUAUGAGAAAAUCAAUGCAUAUAAAGAUAAAAGCAUUUUUUAUUGAUUUCUUUUCCUAAUUAGCUGCAUAAGUUUCCAUAGGUACAGGGCUCUGCUUUGCUUUGUGGUACUGAGACUACAAACCCAGAGCUUUCUGAAUUCUAGCAACCCACUUCCAUUGAGCUACAGCUCCCAGAGCCCCCUUUUUUCUCUUCUGGAAAAAAAAUGUUUUAUUGUGUAGCCCAGGCUAGCCUCGUACUUCAGAGCCUCCUGCUUCAAGCUCCCCAGUGCUGAGAUUCAGGCGUGUGCCAUGCACCACGCCUGGCCCAGUGGCAUCUCUUACAUCAAGAACAAAACAGUGUAGGCGUGACAGGGCUGUGGUAAUGGACUCAUAGCACCUGUCUCUGUAGGACCAGGAACACAUAAGUUAGGUCUCCCACCAGCCAGUUCCAAGAUGGAAAGCACUCACUAUUUACUGCUGUUCUAACUAACAGGUUCUGGGAGAGGGGAAGGCAUAGUAUCCAGCUGUCUACCCACUGGGGAGCCCACCAUGUUCUGACAUCAGUUCAAGCCAAGAUCAUGUGGGCAGAUCCUGUUAAAUGCUGCAGGACACCAGACAAGACAGGACCUAGUAAAUACGAGGGAGAGAUUUGAAAGGGAGGAGAGAGGUUGUCAGAGGUGUGGGUAAGGAUGAGGGAGGGUGUGUGGGGAGAAGGUAAGGAGAAUAUGUUAUGUACAGGUAUGAAAUUGUCAAAGGACAAAGUUUAAUAAGAACAAACCACGGUGAGGUAUAGAACCCUGGGGAUCUUGUGACAGUGAUUGCUAAUCGUCUCUCCAUGUUUGGUCUCCUGUUCUUCAAUAAUCAAAGAAUCCUCUACU